rnacentral:rRNA from 1 species
AUACGUAGGGGGCGAGCGUUGUCCGGAAUGAUUGGGCGUAAAGGGCGCGUAGGCGGCCCGGUAAGUCUGGAGUGAAAGUCCUGUUUUUAAGAUGGGAAUUGCUUUGGAUACUGUCGGGCUUGAGUGCAGGAGAGGUAAGUGGAAUUCCCAGUGUAGCGGUGAAAUGCGUAGAGAUUGGGAGGAACACCAGUGGCGAAGGCGACUUACUGGACUGUAACUGACGCUGAGGCGCGGAAGUGUGGGGAGCAAACAGGAUUAGAUACCCUGGUAGUCCACACUGUAAACGAUGAAUGCUAGGUGUAGGGGGUAUCGACCCCUUCUGUGCCGCAGUCAACACAAUAAGCAUUCCGCCUGGGGAGUACGGCCGCAAGGUUGAAACUCAAAUGAAUUGACGGGG